rnacentral:rRNA from 1 species
UUGGAGGGCAAGUCUGGUGCCAGCAGCCGCGGUAAUUCCAGCUCCAAUAGCGUAUAUUAAAGUUGUUGCAGUUAAAAAGCUCGUAGUUGAAUUUCGGGAUUAGUACGUCGGUCGUGCCUUAGGUACGUACUGGUGUUACUGGUUCCUACCUUCUGACGAACCAUCAUGUCAUUAAUUUGGUGUGGUGGGGAAUCAGGACUGUUACUUUGAAAAAAUUAGAGUGUUUAAAGCAGGCUCGCGCUUGAAUACAUUAGCAUGGAAUAAUGAAAUAGGACGUUGAUCCUAUUUUGUUGGUUUCUAGGAUUGACGUAAUGAUUAAUAGGGAUAGUUGGGGGCAUUAGUAUUCAAUUGUCAGAGGUGAAAUUCUUGGAUUUAUUGAAGACUAACUACUGCGAAAGCAUUUGCCAAGGACGUUUUCAUUAAUCAAGAACGAAAGUUAGGGGAUCGAAGACGAUCAGAUACCGUCGUAGUCUUAGCCAUAAACUAUGCCGACUAGGGAUCGGAUGAUGUUAUUUUUAAUGACUCAUUCGGCGCCUUACGGGAAAC